AGUGAACGUUGGCGGCGUGGAUUAGGCAUGCAAGUCGAGCGAGAACCGUAGCAAUACGGGGACAGCGGCGAAAGGGACAGUAAUGUGUAGGUACCUACCCCGAGGUCUGGGAUAGCUGCGGGAAACUGCAGGUAAUACCGGAUAAUGUCUUCGGACCAAAGGUGAGAUUCCACCUUGGGAGGGGCCUGCAUCCUAUUAGCUAGUUGGCGGGGUAAUGGCCCACCAAGGCAACGAUGGGUAGCGGGUGUGAGAGCACGACCCGCGUCAUUGGGACUGAGAUACUGCCCAGACACCUACGGGUGGCUGCAGUCGAGGAUCUUCGGCAAUGGGCGAAAGCCUGACCGAGCGACGCCGCGUGCGGGAUGAAGGCCUUCGGGUUGUAAACCGCUGUCGUAGAGGAGGAAAUGCAGGGGGGUUCUCCCCUCUGUUUGACCUAUUCUAGGAGGAAGGACGGGCUAAGUUCGUGCCAGCAGCCGCGGUAA
rnacentral:rRNA from 1 species